rnacentral:lncRNA from 1 species
CCUCUAAACUGUCUGAAUAAGGAGUUGAAGGAACAUGUCUCCAACUAACUUCCUAAACUGAAAUAAACUGAAAUACUAAAAUAAUAAAUGUAACGAUCAUGUCCUCGAAAGAUGAUGACUCACUGAUUACUGAACUACUACUGCUGAUCUGGAAUCUGCACCUCAGAACCUAUGGUGUAACAUAAAAAGAAAGCACCAUAGCGCAAAUGCGUCAGUACAACUAAAGUAUUGAGUAUACGUAGGGGUAGGCUAAAUGCAUGGGGUUUAUAUGCAUGAACAUGCUGACUAAUAUGAACAUGAGAAUACAUACAUACAUAUAUACGUAACUGCUACUGAACUCAUGGAGAUACUGACUACUUGAGUUUGAACUCUGACAACAUGAGUUUCGUGAUACUGAGAUACUGAAUGACUGAUAACAUGGAUGACUGUAUCUAACAGUCCUAAUUCUGGGGAAAAAUAUCUAAGUUCUAAAUGGUAUCUGAACAUCUAAGUCUGAGAUCAAUCCUAGCUAAUGAGUGAUCUCUGAAACUGAAAAUGACAAUACUUGACUGAAUCUGAGAUUGAGAUCAAGCCUGUCUGCCGGAUGACCUCUAGAUCUAAUAAUAAGCAUCUGAAUAUGGGAUAAAGCCUAUCUGAUGUGAUGGUCUAGGAAUCAAUGGAACUAUCUGAGUUCCUUACUGAGAUCGAUGACUGUAUCUGACAGUCCUGAUUCUUGAUUUCUACUCUAAAGACUGAUACUGAAACUGUAACUGUAACUGUGACUAUGGGAGGUAGUAACCUAACUGACAUACCUCGAUACUGUACUGGUGGGGUCUAAUCUUUUCCCUAAUUGGAAGGGUGUCAAUAUCGUGCCACGGGUAGAGACCUCUACUAUGGUCAAGCCUCUCUGACGGGUGACCCUAAACAGGAAAUCAAGCCUAAGGCAAUAUAAUAGUCAAGUAUAGCCUUAAUCUGAUGGGUGACUCCUGUCCUGCACUGGCUACAUAGUUCUGGAGUACAGGGAUUGCUGCUAACGGCUCUGUCUUUAUAAUAGGAAAAACUGCCAUCCUACACUCGCUCAGUGCUAGUCCCUACUCCCAACUGAAAGACUCUACAAAGAUUAAUACGCUGAACUGACUAACUGAACUAAACUAAUUUAUAAACUGAUUAACUGAGCUGAUAAUAUUUUCUUAGCUGAACUAAGCUGAAUUCACUGAGUUCCAUUGAUUGACGAAAAAGCUACUUAAGAUCUGAGGUCUGACUGAGAGUACUGAAACUACUGGGACUACUGAACUACUGAGAUUUCUAAGUUUUUCUGAGUCACGUGACUAACUAAAAUCUCUAGAGCAUAGCUUGACUGAGGAUAUCUUGAAACAUGACACUAGCUCUAGGCAUACAGCUAUAGUUUUCGGGUACAAGUAUCCUCAGGACUCAAUGGAAGGAAACUGACACACAUGAUUGACUUGAUCAUAAGAGUAGAGUCCACAAUGCAUAAUAUCAUAAGUAAGGAUUUCAUAAUAAGAAUGAUUCUCAACAAACUAUCACAUGAUCGGGAAUGCACACAACAUGUAUAUACUUGUAUGGCUUCAAUAACAUGGUCAUUCCAUAUCACAACAAUAUUAUGAGCAUCUCAUACAACAUCUUCAAUUCAAUACAAUAUCAUGGGGAUCACGUUGAACAUAAACUUAGAACAUGGAAUGGUCAUUUAGGACUUAUUAUGUCAUAAAAGCAUGAUUUCUAUUCUCUUAGGUAUUUUCACAAACACCUUACAUGCACAUCUUAGGCAUAGGUAGAUUCAUUAAGAUUACAAAUAUUCAACCACCAAUUUCACAUAUUUAUACAUUAAAUACCACCAUACCCUCACACAAAACAUAAAAAGAUCCCAUCUUAGGCAUCAUCAAACUCCAACCACAUGAACAUCAACCACCAACAACAUAAACAUCAUAAUACAUAAUUUAGAAGAUGGUUAUUGAGCUUCAUGGAUGAAAGGAGUUCAUGAAUCAACUCACGCAUACCUUAGAAGGAAGAUUCUUGAUGAUUGAUGGAGGAAUUUCUUUGCAAUUGGAUCUUCAAGCUUAAUUAUGCAAUCCUAGUUGUUUUUCUAUUUUAGUGCUCUUGGAUGAUGAACUUAAAUUUUUAAUAGGGUUGUAAUGUAACUAGGAGCUAAAUAUUUUAUAGGGUUAAGUUUAGGGACAUGUAAGGAGUGUUAAAAGACUAAUUACCCUCAAAAUAACUCAAAACGGAGUGUUUAAGUCACUUGAAACCAUAAGAUAGGUGCCACAUAUGAUAUCGCAUAUAUUUACAUAGGCGCCGCAUAUGAUAUCUCCUAAAUUUACAUAAGCGCCGCAUAUACUAUCACCUAUAUUUACAUAGGCGCCGCAUAUGCUUUUCAGUGGCCGUGUGCGAUUAGUUAGACGACGCACUCUACUUUGCUAAGCCAUAACUCCUAGCUCGGGUGUCGGAUUUUGAUGAAAUUGGUAUCGUUGGAAAGCUAAUUUGAUUUUGUAUAAUUUGGUGGGUAUAAAUAUGCAGAAAUACCAUAUUAACAUUGAGUUAUACUCAUUCAAAUAUGACUCUUACGAAAUCGAACACUAAAACUUGAUGGAUUCAAAAACUCUUAGCUUGUAUUACCUUAGGUGACUCACAUGAACAUGCUUAAUGCAUCAUAAUCUAUAUUAUCGCUAGGAUACUCAUUGUAAGUCAUGUACUCAAGUAUGAAUCACAAUAUAGAAGAUUUCAUAAGUAGGAAAAAUGGUUCGUCUCUUAGCUUAGAAACAUGCGGGGUAUUACAACAACUCAUACUUUAGAAUCAUAUGGUAAGUGAUUUAGGUCAUUAAAAUUGAAAAUAGUUCAGCCCUAUUAUCCCGUUCCUUAAUUUUCCAUAUUUGUAACUAUCAAUGUCCUUAAUUUUAUAUUACUCACUGAAUUAUUGUAUUGCUAAUUUACUAUUGACCCUCAUUAAUUUCAUCUUUUAUAUUCUUCAUUUGUAACUGCAAAAUCCUUUAAUGUGUAUUAAUUUAUGAAUAAUUAUAUUGCUAAUUUAUUUUUGUGCUCUUUCAUACUCUAAUUACAACAUUAUAUAUAGAUUGAAAGUAAACUAUUUGCAUACUAUAUUUUUCUUUGAUUCUAUACCUUUUAAUCGAGAUUCAAUAUCAUAUUCUUGUCUUUCACAUUACCGUAUUAGAAUAAGGACCACUAACUAUUUGAAACUUGUAUAAGGGUAUAUAAUAUUAAAUUUGUAUCACCGUCAAUCAUGUUUAGACUAAUAUGUUUUGAAUUGGCUCCUGCCCAAAUUACAACACUUGAUCUUUCGUUCAUAAGAAGGAUAACAUCAUCAGUAAACGUCCUUGAUCUUAUGUCCAACAUUACCUUCUCAAAUACAGGAAAUUUACAUUAAUACAUAUUUAUAUUUGAAUAAUUUAAUUACUCAACUUAUUUAUUUAACAUUUUCAUCUUUAAUUAAGGAUUUUGGUUCAAAAAUUUUCCACCACUCCACUGAAGUACAAGUUAUAGAAAGGUCUAAUGUUAAUAGCAUUCCGAUUGAGGAGAUAUUUUUAGGAGCCUUCAUCUAGCCUUUGUUCAGUUUUCACAAAGAAUUGGCAAAUACAUAGUUACUAUAAAAAGAAUGAAAUAAAAUAUCUUUUAUACAGUAUUUCUAUAUUUAUUAAUUAACAAUAUACUACUAUCAAUUAUGCUAAACUUAAUAACCUUCCUUCUCCUAUAUUUAUAAUCUUUAUCAGAACAAUAUUUUCAAACAAUAUGUUGAAUGAAUAAAUAAUCAAAAAGAAAUAUUCAAACAAAUAUACUUAAAAGCACAUGCAAAGAGCGACCAUGCUACCUGGUACGAGCGUCAAGAAAAGGGACUAAGGAUAAUUUCAUUCGGUAAAUUACUCCCAGAAUGUUCACAAUACUAUUACUUUAAAAAAAAAGAAAGAGGGAAAAUCUUUCUUUUAGGAAAACAAGAACAAGUAGGUGUUGUAGUACUAGUAAUAUUUCUUCUUCUUUCUCCCAGCAUCCAGGAAAAAAUAGAGGAGGAAGGGAGGAAAAGAUUCUUGUGAUAAUUUUCAAAGAAUCUUCAAGAAUUGAUUUCAAUAAUCUUAAGUUGGGAUUAGACUUCAAGGUAAAUUCUCUAUCCUAUUUUUGAAUAUGAUUAUAGAUAACUAUUUGAAGAUAUUUAAUAUGAAUCUUUGCACUACUUUUUGAAAUGAGUUUUAUAGCUAAAAUUCUUGAAAGGGAAAAGAGAUGGAAUUAGGAUAAAGGUGGGAUUUUGGAAAAUUCCUACCAAUUAGACAGAUUUGGUAUUGAAUUUUAUAAGUUGGAAAAUAAAGAGUUCAUUCUGAAUUUUUGUUAAAAAUUUUGAUUACCUUUUAGAGUAAGUGAAAUUAUUGGAAUAAAUUGUUAAAUGGACCUAUGGGUUAUUGAAGGAUGUAUAUGUUAUCCUUGUAGUUAGUGGGUUGCCUAUCGGAUAGCAAUAACUAGUGAUUGAAAGGAUAAAGGCUAUAAUAUCGUGGGUUGAAUUAUUUGAGUCUUGAAAUACUAUCGUAGAUAAUGAAUUACUAAAGGUAUGUAAAGCUAAAUCGUGCCUAGCUAGUAAGACACCACACUACGUCAUGUUCUCCUUUUUAUCAUGUUAAUAUAAUUCUCAUGAAAUACGAAGCUAGAAUCUUUAUAUUAUUUUACAUAUCAUUUUCAUGUUCUACUAUCAAGGUUAUAAGUAUCGAUCCUGCUCUUUUAAUGUCAAGUAUUCACAAGAUUUCAUUUUCUUACUUAAGAUUCUUAUUCCACAUGCUAUAUAUGUCACAUAAUGAAUAAAAGUAAAUAACCAUAGCAUAGUUAUACUUGUAUGUAGUAGCUAAAUGAUCAUUAUCAUAAUUCAUAUUUCAUAGGCCUUUGAGACAAUAUUUGAUAAAUGUUAACAACGGGAGGGUACAUAACUUUUAAUUGGAGAAUCCUUUUUAUGUAAUUCUAUGCAAAAUAUUGAGAACAGAUGAUUAUAAUGAGCCCGAACAUUAAGGUGUACUUUGGAGUCAGCUAAAAUAUCAUGCAUUGACUUCUCUUGACUUGAGCAAACAUAUGGCAUAUAUGAUCUUCAGGAAGACCCUCAUAGUGAACCCCCGGAGUGCAUUCCUUAUAACAAACUAUGACUACAAUUAUACAUAUAAAUCAUAGUCAUAUGUAUUUGGGCAACGUAUGUGUGAUUCAGAUGGUCUUCGGUAGGUCAUCCUAUGAUUAUUUGUACUACAUAUAGUUUAAGUACAUCACCUAGGGAAAUUAUAGGCUUUAUAUCAUAAUGAACUCUCUCCUGGAAAUUACGUGAUGAACUAAUAAAGUUGGUACAUAGGUUACAGUUUCAUAACACAUACGUAGUGCUUCUGUGCUCAUAAUUCUUUCACUUUGAUACUUAAUUCAUAUGAUCUUUUUCUCUCGUCCAACUGUUAUUUUGUCUGGUUCUCAUACUAGUACAUGAUGCAUAUGUAUUGACGCCUCCAUAUUGCCAUAUACUAUUGAUGCAAGCUCAGAUUCACAGGAUAGUAGAUAUCUAUGUUAGGCUCUAAUGUUGUUUUUAGCUGAUAUUAUGGUGAGGUCCAUAUCUCUAUAGAACUAACUUUAUAUAUUUUUUAUUUUUGGACAGAGUCACUCAUUGGGCUGGACCGAUUUUAGUGUUGUAGGAUUGUUUUUGUGUAUUAUUUGGAUGGGUUGGUCCAUUCAUUGUGGACUUUGAUAUUGAUUAUUAAUAAAAUUACAAAUUAAAUGGAAAAAAAUCUUUAUAAAGCCAGUAUAUGUCUAGUAUUUUUAUUAUAUGUGCAAACUUCUUAUUUGGUAUGUCGGGCCCUAUCCCAACUAGUUAUUCGUAGUAUAGUGUAUUAAACUAGCAAGAGGUUUCAUGCAUAUCAUGUAGUGUUUUAUUAUAACUUUUUUCUCAUAUAACUCCAUCGUGUGUAUAUAUAUCCCAUAUUGGAUAUCCUGCUCAUUAUUAUCCCAGAAUCUCGUAUAUUCAUAGAUUUCUUGUAAAGUAGAUGCAUAUGGUUUUUGUUCGUCAUUACCAUUUUGGGACAUGACAAACUUGAUAUCAGAGACAAGGUGCAGUUGUUCCAGGGAGUCUAGUAGGACCUUUCUUAUUGAUCUGUUACACUCUAUAUUUAUAGUUAAAGGACUACAUGAAUAUUUAGGAAUUUUACCUUCAUUUAUAAUCUAGAUCGUCCAAUAGAGAUAAAUCAUAGAAAGUUACUUCUGAAUCAUAUUUUAUGUAUCUGUGAUAUUGAUCAUGUCUACUAUAAAAAGGGUAAAAAAGCCCAACAUGCCACUAUUAGCACUACUCACAGGGCAACCACUAUAGGGAAAUCUCCUGUAUUGGUGGAUCUAAAUACGACUUAAGAAAGUUUGAUGAGUUCUAUGCUUCUAUGUCCUCAAAUUCCCAUGAUAGAAGGACCUACAGGGGUUUCUGUACCUCCAGUGGUACCAACAAUAGUUCCUAUCCUACCACUAGUGGCUCAGACCAAGAUUUCAAAGGAGUAAUACAGUUGCUCAUGCAGUUAGUAGCUGCUCGUACAUAGAGGCAGAAUGUGGAUUUACCUUUUAUUUCUCAAGAAGGGAUAGCCAAAUCUAAGAUCAAAUAUUUUCUCUAUAUAAGUUUGCCAAUAUUUGCAAGCUCCAAUUUUACAGAGGACCCUAAUGGUUCAUUAAUGAGACUUAUUGAAUUUGUAGGGUGAUGCAGAUAUCAGAGAUAGAUAUAGUUAAGUUGGCCUCUUAUUAAUUAAAAGGUGUUUCUAUUGGUUAGUAUGAUAUGUAAAUAGCCUUAAGGAGUUAAGAUAUUCCCCCAACAGUUUGGAUAGACUUUAUAAGGGCCAUAAUAGAUCAUAUCAUGCCACUAGAGCUCAGAGAAGAAUUGGUAGAUGAAUUUUUAUCUCAAAAGUAAUGUAAUAUUAGUGUCAAAGAGUACUAUUUGUGGUUACAUAGUGGUUCAUAUUUGCUCCAGAUUUGGUUAGCAAACAAAUAUCAGAGAUUCAUCACUUUGUGGAUGUCCUCAUAAGUUCUUUGAAGGACCUUCUUUCUAUUACUGCUAUGAACAACGAUUUGGAUAUAGAAAGGAUCAUGACAUAUGCUCGAACACUAGUGAAGGAUCAACAUAAUUGUGAGGUGGACAUCGAGAGGUAGUAGAGUAAGAGAACUAGGACGGAUAGCCAAUUUUAUGAGAGCAGUAGAGCUUCCACUAGUAGAGGACCUAGGUAGACCCAGUCAGUUAUUUUCUCUACAUCUAAUUAUUUAUCUCAUAUUUUAAGACACAAAUAUGAGUAGGAUUAGAAUUUUAGAGCACCAGAGUUACAGCUUUAAAGGGGCACCAAUUGAGAAUUACCAUCUCAUUCUUUAUGUAGACAUUGUGGUAGAGAAUAUGGAGAGGAGUGUUGGCAUGGUUUAAAUACCUGUUAUUGGUAUGGUGUAGAGGGUUAUAUGGUAUGAGAUUAUCCAUAACUCAAAGAUAAAAGUAGAGGUAAUAGACUAUAGCUUACAUGGUUUGUAUUAGCCUCAUUAUUAUUAGUACUUUUUUCUUCUCGAGGUCCUCAGACAUUAGCAGUAGAGGGUCUGGUAGGGGUAGAGGGUCCAAUUAGAGUGCUGGAUUGAAUCAUAUGCAUGCACUGGCCAUUCAGCAAGAUUCAGAGGCAUCUCCAGAUGUGGUCACAAAUACCUUAGUUAUCUAUUCAUAUACCAUAUAUGUCGUGAUAGAUCAAGGAUAUAGCCUAUCAUAUAUUACUCUAUUUAUUUCUAAGAAGUUUGGAAUAGAGCCAAAGUUGUUAUGUGAACCAUUUGCAGUAUUGACUCUAGUAGGAGAGUUUAUCAUAGCUAGAUGGGUUGAUUAUGAUUGUGUGGUGGACAGUGUGUGGUCAUGCUACAUUGGCUAAUCUGAUUAAACUUAAAAUGGUCAACGUAGAUAUUAUCAUGGGUAUGGAUUGGUUAUCUUCUUUUUAUGCUAUAGUUAAUUGCCAAGAAAAAAUGGCCUACUUCUAUUUACGUGGAGAUCCAGUCCUAGAGUGGAAAGGUAAUUUUAUGAUUCCUAGAAGAAGGAUUAUUUCAUAUCUUAAGGAUUGAAAUUUUAUUACAAAGGGGUUUUCGUAUCACCUAGUCCAAGUGAAAAAACUUGAAACCAAAAAGUAGGCACUGACUCUCCAAUCUACACCUAUGGUGAACAAGUAUCCAAAUGUGUCUCUUGAUGAACUUUUUGGAUUACCACCUAUCAAAGAGAUCAAUUUUUGUAUUGAUGUAAAUUUCGAUAAUCAACCAAUAUGAAUUCAACCUUAUAGAAUAGCACUUGUAGAAUUAAAAGAGCAAAAAAAGCAGUUGAAAGACUUAAUAAAGGCUUCAUUCUAUCCAUUAUUACCUUGGGGUGCGCCAGUAUUGUUUGUACAUAAGAAAGAUGGCAUGUUGCGAAUGUGUAUAGAUUACAGGCAUCUGAACAAAGUGACAAUAAGGAAUAAGUAUCCUCUUUCCUGGAUAGAUAACCUAUUUGAUCAAUUUUAGGGAGAUAAAUCUUUUCAAAGAUUGAUUUGAGCCCAGUUAUCUCCAACAAAGGAUUUGUGAAGCCGAUAUUCCUAUGAUAGCUUUUUGGACAAGAUAUUGGCACUUUGAGUUCUUUGUUAUGUUAUUUGGAUUGAUGAAUUCCCCAGUAGCCUUUUAUGGAUAUGAUGAAUAGGUUUUUCAAACCCUUUCUUGAUUUAUAUAUGACAUUUUGAUAUAUUCACGUAAUGAAGUAGAGCAUGUAGAUCAUUUUAUAUCAAUGUUCUAGACAUUUAAAGAGCAUUAAUUAUAUGCUAUAAUCUCUACGUAUGAGUUUUGUCAUGUGGUAUUUAGAGAAGGCAUCAGAUUAGAUUUUCAUAAAUGAUAUCCACCUGUAAGUCUCCGUAAAAGAAUAUAUACGAGCUACUACAUGAUUCUGGUGUACGAUAACUAACGUGCACCUUAGAGGUCGAGCCAUGGCAAGAGGUCGGGUAAGAGAAAGACAAAAGGAAAGGGACUAUGUGACAAAACCUAAACUAUUUGUAGUAUUUGAAAGCUCAAUAGGGAGGGUAGGAACUUUCACAGUGGUUCAAUUAAGCCGAAGUGGACAACCAAGUAGGCUGAAAUUGAUGAUUCUCCAGUGAUUAUUUGAUCAUCGGGAAAGUUAGAUCUUACUCCCCCCUGUCUGUGGAGAAAGAUGGUGGUAACGAGGUUACCCCAAGGAAAUAUUGGCUAUACUUAAAAUUAACACACCAUCGAUAGUGUAAUAGGAUUCAGAGCGAGUGGAACUCAUUGGCAAAGAGAAAUUACCUUCUUGGACGAGCUUAUUUAAGAAUAAAAUAUGUACUGAUAAUGGUAUGACCCUGACCUAUAUGCCACCCUAAAUCGUAGAUGGACUUUUUGUAGUUUAAUUGGAAAAGGAAGAGGUGGAUGAAGAGGCAUUAAAGUAGAUAAGUACACUUAAAGCUUAUCUUUUCAGCAGGUACCAAUUUAUAACACCAUGAUAUGGUUCAUUCAACAAAAUUAGACGAUUACUAAACCUAAACUAUAUCUUCAUGAAGAGGGGUAUUAUCUGAUUAAGUUAUAAAUAAUUGAGGAUCUGAAUGAGAUAUUUUAUGCUAGACCCUUUUCAGUUAUUAAUAGACCAAUUAUACUAAAAUCUCAAAAGUUGAAUUUUGACUUUAAUGUGCGAUUCCCUACAGAAAUUCCACUAAGAGUCAAGUUUUCAAAUUUUCCAAUGAAUUGCUGGGGUAGAAAUUCUUCGAGCCAAAUUGCAAGUGCUAUAGAAACUCUAAUUUGUGCUGAUGAGUGCACUAUAAAACAAAUGUAUAUCUCCUAUGUGAGAAAUAUUAUCAUGGUCAAUGUUACUGGGACUCUCCAUGAGGCCGUGAUUGUGAUAGAUCCUAAUAGUCAUCAAUUAAUCGAAAAGGUGGUGUUUGACUGGAAAACAGAGUUUGCUAACAAUUCUAGUUAUUGGGCAUCAAUGUCCACCUCCCCAGUGAUAAGAGAAUAGUUAGCAAUGUAGGUGAAAAGUACCAAGGUAGGUCACUAUAGAGUGGUAGACUAGGGGACUUUUUGCUCAUGUGGAGUCAACUAAGCCUGGAACCACUAGUGAAAUAGAUGAGAGCACCAAUAGUCUAAUUGACAGUGAGCCUGUUUAGCCAUCUGGUGUGGUGUCUCAUAAGUGUAUUUUUGAUGUUCAGCAUUUGAAAGGAAAUCAAGAAGAGGUUGAUACAUAUGCGUUAAGUACGGGAAAGAUUUCCUAAAGUUUUGAGUUGAAUUUAGUAGAUUUACCUAUCCUCUUCUCAUCUGUAACCUCUGGAAAUGCGACUCAACGUCCUUUGAAUCAUGUGCAUCCCAAAUCUCUUGAUAAGCGGAGAGACACUCAAUAAUCAUCAUGAAUUGGUUAGUGUGGAAUGUAAAGGGUAUCAAUAGAUGGAACAAACAAAUGAAGUUAAGAAGUAACUUUCUAAUAAAUAAUAUUAGAUUUGCUGGGCUAGUAGAAACCAUAAUUAAGACUCCUAAAGCUAGAGAAGUUCUGAAUCAUAUGGCACCUGGUUAGGAAAUGGAAUUUAAAUAUCAGCAAGUCGUGAACGGAAGGAUAUGGGUGAUGUGGGAUCUAAAUUGGUUUGAAUAUUUUUUACGAUAUGUUGAUGCUCAAUUCAUUCAUUUUUAUGUGAAGGAGCGACAAAGGGAUCAUAACUGUUUUGUCAUAGUACUAUAUGGU